AGUAAAUAGAUACCCCGGUAGUCCACGCCGUAAACGAUGUCGACUUGGAGGUUGUGCCCUUGAGGCGUGGCUUCCGGAGCUAAACGCGUUAAAGUCGACCGCCUGGGGAGUACGGCCGCAAGGUUAAAACUCAAAUGAAUUGACGGGGGCCCGCACAAGCGGUGGAGCUAUGUGGUUUAAUUCGAUGCAACGCGAAGAACCUUACCUACUCUUGACAUCCAGAGAACUUAGCAGAGAUGCUUUGGUGCCUUCGGGAACUCUGAGACAGGUGCUGCAUGGCUGUCGUCAGCUCGUGUUGUGAAAUGUUGGGUUAAGUCCCGCAACGAGCGCAACCCUUAUCCUUUGUUGCCAGCGGUUAGGCCGGGAACUCAAAGGAGACUGCCAGUGAUAAACUGGAGGAAGGUGGGGAUGACGUCAAGUCAUCAUGGCCCUUACGAGUAGGGCUACACACGUGCUACAAUGGCGCAUACAAAGAGAAGCGACCUCGCGAGAGCAAGCGGACCUCAUAAAGUGCGUCGUAGUCCGGAUUGGAGU
rnacentral:rRNA from 1 species